CUCAACUCUAUAGCAGUUUAACGGACAUUGUUAUGUUGACAUGCAUCUUUCUACUUAUGUUGACAUGCAUCUUUCUACUCCUCAAAUACCCUUGUUGUAUCAUCUGUAGUAGAUGCUUCAUCACAGAACUAGAAGUGAGGAGGAGAGCACGGACACCCCUGUCAUAAAGUGAGUACACAUCAUAACAAGACAAAGCUCCACUCCUUGUAUGGACCGCAACAUUUGCAAAG
rnacentral:lncRNA from 1 species